AUACAGUGGAGCAGCAACCACGAUAAAAACGGGCGGAACCGAAAAGCCAGAUGAGUAGGAAUAAA
rfam:Flavihumibacter solisilvae strain 3-3 contig19, whole genome shotgun sequence.